UCCGGUAUAGUGUAACGGCUAACAUACCUCCCUCUCGGGGAGGAAUUCGGGGUUCGAUUCCCCGUGCCGGAA
rnacentral:tRNA from 1 species